AUUAAAGCCUUGCAGACUUUUUGCAUUGUUACGGUGGCUCCGAGGGCUCAGCGAGAGAUUUUCUUUGAGGACUACUUUGCAUUUGCUCGGAAUACUUUUGCAGUACCUCGCAAUACUUUGCGUCUCACAAUAUGUUUUGAAUUCCCUCACAAUACUUUUGCGUUACCUAGCAAUACCUAUCUUCUUCCGUUACUUCUGAGCCAUAGCUGUCAUUUUGGCUCAGGCAGCUGCUCCCAGCUCCUUUUAGGUGCCCUGACGUGAAGUUACAUGAGCUGUGUACGGACAGGUGGUCCAUUUCAGACAUGGAGGAGGACAUUGAGGACUUCCUUAAGUCAAGGAAUGUUGCAGAAGAAGAUAUAAACUGAAUGAAAAUGGACAAGAUGAAGAAAGGGCAAAAUAUAUCUCUUCAUAUGGCAACCGCUUGGCAGGAGGGAAGGAAAUACUGACUAAGAAGCAGUUUUAGAUUUGCCAAAAGAUUGCCACAAGACGGAUGAAAAAGGCUGGGUCUCUUGGAGAACCAAGUCGAACCUCUGCUGUGCAGAAUGUUGGUGUAAUGGCAAGACAUAAAAAUUGUAAUGCUAAAAAAAGC